rnacentral:rRNA from 1 species
UACGGAAGGCAGCAGUAGGGAAUCUUCCGCAAUGGGACGAAAGUCUGACGGAGCAACGCCGCGUGAACGAUGAAGGCUUUCGGGUCGUAAAGUUCUGUUGUUAGGGAGACAAGUACCGGAGUAACUGCCGGUACCUUGACGGUACCUAACCAGAAAGCCACGGCUAACUACGUGCCAGCAGCCGCGGUAAUACGUAGGUGGCAAGCGUUGUCCGGAAUUAUUGGGCGUAAAGCGCGCGCAGGCGGUCCUUUAAGUCUGAUGUGAAAGCCCACGGCUCAACCGUGGAGGGUCAUUGGAAACUGGGGGACUUGAGUGCAGAAGAGGAGAGUGGAAUUCCACGUGUAGCGGUGAAAUGCGUAGAGAUGUGGAGGAACACCAGUGGCGAAGGCGACUCUCUGGUCUGUAACUGACGCUGAGGCGCGAAAGCGUGGGGAGCGAACAGGGAUUAGAUACC